rnacentral:rRNA from 1 species
UACGGAGGGUGCAAACGUUGCUCGGAAUCAUUGGGCGUAAAGCGCACGUAGGCGGCGCGUUAAGUCGGAUGUGAAAGCCCCGGGCUCAACCCGGGAAGUGCAUACGAAACUGGCGCGCUUGAAUAUGGAAGAGGAGAGUGGAAUUCCUGGUGUAGCGGUGAAAUGCGCAGAUAUCAGGAAGAACACCAAUGGCGAAGGCAGCUCUCUGGGACGGUACUGACACUGAGACGCGAAAGCGUGGGGAGCGAACAGG